GUCGGGUGCAGUGGCGUGCGCCUGUAAUCCAAGCUGCUGGGAGGCUGAGACUGGCGGAUCGCUUGAGUUCAGGGGUUCUGGGCUGCAGUGGACUAUGUUGAUCGGGUGUCCGCACUAAGUUCGGUAUCGAUAUGGUGUUCCUGGGGGAGCUCGGGACCACCAGGUCGUCUAAGGAGGGGUGAACCGGCCCAGGUCGGAGACGGAGCAGGUCAAAGCCCCCGUGUCGAUCAGUAGUGGGGUCGCACCUGUGAAUAGACACAGCGAGACUCAGACUUUUGCGUUUGCUCUCAAAUAACUUCCAGACUAA
rnacentral:SRP_RNA from 1 species